rfam:Gossypium arboreum cultivar AKA8401 contig_21023_3, whole genome shotgun sequence.
UUAUAAAAAUUUCAUCCAUUUAUACUGUUAAAAACUAUUAUUGAUGAUAGAAUAUUCAAAAAAUGACACAUUGCCACGUGUAAUCAUGCUGACAUAUGGGAGUUAGUUUUUAACAAUAAAAAUUGAUGUAAUUUUUACAA